UUGUGGUCAUAUAGCGUUGAAACACAGAUUCUCGUACGGUCACUGAGGUUAAACAACGUCGAGCCUGAUCAGUACCUAGAUGGGUGACCGUAUGUAUACACCAGGUGCUGUAUG